UAAGACAGAGGUCUCGAGCGUUAGGCGGAAUCACUGGGCUUAAAGCGUGUGUAGGCGGAUCGUUAAGUGCCUUGUGAAAUCCCACGGCUUAACCGUGGAACUGCUUGGCAUACUGGCGGUCUUGAGCAACCUAGGGGCAAGUGGAACAAAUGGUGGAGCGGUGAAAUGCGUAGAUAUCAUUUGGAACGCCAAUGGUGAAAACAGCUUGCUGGGGGUUUGCUGACGCUGAGACACGAAAGCCAGGGGAGCGAACGGGAUUAGAUACCCCGGUAGUCCUGGCCGUAAACGAUGUCGACUAGAUCGCAGUAGCUCUGACGUUAUUGCGGUCGAAGCAAAAGUGCUAAGUCGACCGCCUGGGAAGUACGGUCGCAAGGCUA
rnacentral:rRNA from 1 species